AAAAAAAAAAGUAAAAGAAAACAGUUCCAGCAUUUCAACACCACGAAGCUCAUACUUAAUUUAAGAUACAAAAUUGUGAAUGAAUUUUCUUAUGGUAUUUUCAUAAUAAUCUUAGCAAAGAUUUCUUUUAAGAAGUUUUUCACUUACAACGUGCAGAAAUUACAAACGAUUUUUUAAAAAAUGGGAAAAAUGUUCAACUUCUCCUGAUUUUCAUAAGUCAGUUCUUAAUUCGUUAGAAGUCCUAUUAAACCAUUUCUAAAAACCCAAUAAAGAGUUAAAAGGGUGUCGAAGCUUUAUAAAUUGAAUUUCUACUGAAGACGGUCUUAAACACCUUAUUUCUUGAUGUUGACGAAUUUGAACUAAGAGGACCGAAAAUCAAAAUACAAAAAUAUUCAUUUGCAUUAUUAUUUAACAUUGUCAUUCCUCCGAAUUAAUCCAAAUAAAUCUCAAAAAAAAAAAAUGAAAAUCUUCAUAUUUUAGGGUUUAAAUUCAAUAUUUAUUCAUUGAACCGUUUACAUUUUCUGAUGAUUUCCAUCGUAUUUACCAAUUUUCAAUUUUUUUUUAUUUGAUUCUCAUAAAUCCUUUUUGUAUUGGUAUUCCAUAUCUUCUUUGUCUUAAAUUCCAACACAAAAAAAAGAAAUACGAAAAUCGGAAAAAUUCCAAAAAUCCUUAAUCACUCUCACUCUUGUUUUUUGCAAUCAGCUUAUAUGAGAUGAGUACCUACUCAAGCUCAAAAGAGACAAGCAACAAAAAAUAUUUAAAAAAAAACGAAAGUAAAACAAAAAGAAGUGCAAAAAAAAAAAAAAUACUUGAAAUAAUUCCAUAGAUUUUUACACCA